rnacentral:rRNA from 1 species
CCUACGGGUGGCAGCAGUGAGGAAUAUUGGUCAAUGGACGGAAGUCUGAACCAGCCAUGCCGCGUGCAGGAAGACGGCUCUAUGAGUUGUAAACUGCUUUUGUACAAGGGUAAACCUGAAUACGUGUAUUCAGCUGACAGUAUUGUAUGAAAAAGGAUCGGCUCACUUCGGGCCCGCAGCGGCGGUAAUACUGGGGAUGCAAGCGUUAUCCGGAUUUUUUGGGUUUAAAGGGUGCGUAGGCUGGGAGGUAAGGCAGCGGGGAAAUGCCCCCGCUCAACGGGGUGAAGUGCAAUUGAUAAUGGCUGGCUGGAGUGCGGAUGGCGUGGGAGGAAUGAGUGGUGUAGCGGUGAAAUGCAUAGAUAUCACGCAGAACACCGAUUGCGAAGGCAACUCACGAAGCCGCGAUUGACGCUGAGGCUCGAAAGCGUGGGUAUCAAACAGGAUUAGAUACCCCUGUAGUC